rnacentral:rRNA from 1 species
UAUUGGACAAUGGGCGAAAGCCUGAUCCAGCAAUGCCGCGUGAGUGAUGAAGGCCUUCCCCCCUGUAAAGCUCUUUUACCCGGGAUGAUAAUGACAGUACCGGGAGAAUAAGCUCCGGCUAACUCCGUGCCAGCAGCCGCGGUAAUACGGAGGGAGCUAGCGUUGUUCGGAAUUACUGGGCGUAAAGCGCGCGUAGGCGGUUUUUUAAGUCAGAGGUGAAAGCCCAGUGCUCAACACUGGAACUGCCUUUGAAACUGGAAAACUUGAAUCUUGGAGAGGUCAGUGGAAUUCCGAGUGUAGAGGUGAAAUUCGUAGAUAUUCGGAAGAACACCAGUGGCGAAGGCGACUGACUGAUUUUGUAUUGACGCUGAGGUGCGAAA